UGGGGAAUAUUGCACAAUGGGCGAAAGCCUGAUGCAGCGACGCCGCGUGAGGGAUGACGGCCUUCGGGUUGUAAACCUCUUUCAGUAGGGACGAAGCGCAAGUGACGGUACCUGCAGAAGAAGCACCGGCUAACUACGUGCCAGCAGCCGCGGUAAUACGUAGGGUGCGAGCGUUGUCCGGAAUUACUGGGCGUAAAGAGCUCGUAGGCGGUUUGUCACGUCGUCUGUGAAAUCCUAGGGCUUAACCCUGGACGUGCAGGCGAUACGGGCUGACUUGAGUACUACAGGGGAGACUGGAAGUUCUGGUGUAGCGGUGGAAUGCACAGAGAUCAGGAAGAACACCGAUGGAGAAGGCAGGUAUCUGGGUAGGAACUGACGCUGAGGAGCGAAAGCAUGGGUAGCGAACAGG
rnacentral:rRNA from 1 species